rnacentral:lncRNA from 1 species
CAGUUGCUUUCUCCAAGCAAGGAAAUUAUUCCAAACCUGUCAAUUCAUUUGGUCAGUAGAUAGUGUGCUCGCUUCAAUAUGAUAGUGUGAACCCGGAGAUGCCUGGCGCAGGUAUUAAAUCUGGACUCGCAUUCUCCGGAACAUCUCGCUCUCAAGAGAAAGAUGUAGCAUUAAUUAGUGCAAUCUAUGCACAUUGCAAUCAUUCUUUCUUCUACUCAUUGCGUGUAAUGCGAUCCGAUGGGCAGAAAGCAAACUUAUAAUCUCCGAGUAAAACUGCAAACUGUGCACAAAUUAUGAUAUCUUUUUAAUUUCUCCUUAGUUUUUGUUCAAUACAUUGAUUGAAUUUGAAUUACUCUCUCCGUUCCUAAAUAUAAGAUAUUUUAGCUUUUCUCUAUUUUCUUAGGUCUAUGCACUUUAGUGUAUAUUCACUCAUUUUAAUUUGUACAUAUUGCAAUAUCUAAAACAUCUUAUAAUUAGAAAUGGGCGGAGUAUAUUGUACCACCUUGUUAAAAAAGUGGGUAUUGUAUUAUACCAACAGACAGUUAUUAUGAAGAAAUUGCAAGAUAAAAUAACAAUGUUUUCACAAGUCAUUGAACAGACUUACCAUAUAUUGGUAGUUGAAGUUUUGAGAUGCAAUCAACGUUUCUGCACAUAUAGACCAAAUAUAACUAUUCACGUAACUGCAUCAUCAAGAUGAUUGCAAUAUCCAUCAUCGAAUAUGUCAGGCCAUCCUGCCGUUAAAAACACACUCUUAUAAUGAAGUAAAGUAACAAAGAACACUCCUUUAAUCAACAAUUAGUCCCCAACACAUACGUAGGCAGGCACUAAAGAAACAUUGGAGAUGCGAGCAUAACUGACAUAUAUAUGAAUGUGUAAUAAUUGAGUUUUCUGGUGAUGUAGUAGUAUGAACACAAAGAUUCUAGGGCACAACACACAGCAAGUGAAGAAAAAAAAAGUUUCUUGAUGGCGUACUCUCGAGAAAGUUCUUCCCAAUGUAUCGAUAUUACGUAAACACAAUGCGGUGGCUGCAGCGAUGUCUUUCUAAUUAUUUUAUUUUAUUUUUCGAGGUUUGAACGGAUCAAUGUGCAUGUGUUUUCAUGGCAUAAGGUUGGUAGAGUAAGAAUAUUUACUGCAACUUUAUUACAGGGCACAUGGCUCCGUGACAUUGAACAUUUGGCCAUGCUUAGUGACUAAUUGCAGUUCCGUGGAAACCUUAAGCUUUAAGGUAAGAUAAAAGCUACCCUAAAAAAAGGUAAGAUAAAAGCUUAGGGCAUCUCCGAGGCCCCCCAGUUGUCCGUGAACCUGUCAUAACGUGUCCACAGACACACUCUGUGUAACAUCUAAGGGUAUCUUCAACGCUGAUCUGUAAGUCGGGCAUCGGAUGCUGGCCAUCCAAAGCUAGAUUUUUUAGGUUGAACAUAGACCCAAAUUUUCCUUUCUUUUGAUUCCUUAGAAUUUUUUUUGUCUUUCUGGCGGUAUCAAACAACCACCUAAUAUCUUAUCCGCCUCUUUAGGAAAAUGAAUAUCUCCGGAAAAUAUUUUGAGUUUCGUAUAUUAUUUUUCUCUUCACCCGGACUAGUCCGCCUAGUCGACUUCUUGUAUUCUUUGUGAGUUGUGUAUGCACUCCAAUAAUACUAUUGUCAAGUAUCUUUAGGGAUGAAGAUCUGGGCAAGAUAUGAAGUUUCGUCCCUAUUUUUUUUAAAGUCCGCAUACAUCCGCAUGCUCAAAAUAGUUGUAUAUCUAGUUUCAGUUGAGCUAACAAAUGUUCAAAUACAACAACAAUUCUAAUUUAAAUACCACAGUCCAAUAAUAUUAUCGUUUUUAACCGCCCACAGAUACUUAAUUAGAUCUUCCUUCAGUUUCUCGAUGCCGAAUUUGUUAAUAUAUUUGAACAAACUCAUCAAAUAUGGCCGGAUUCUGGGCUAGAAGUUCGAUAGGAUCACCCAUGUUCUAAAUUCAAGACCUAUGCAACAUCCUCAUCCUCAUCCUCGGCGAUCAUGUUGUGCAUAAUCACACAACAUAUCAUCGCCUUUCACAAGGUCCCCGGAUCCCACAGUUUAGUAGGUCUAGGAACAAUGGCAAAACGUGCCUGCAGAACUCCAAAUUCCCUCUCAAUAUCUUUUCUAGCCGCUUAUCGUUUUUGGGCAAAGUGGGAAUUUUCCUGACCAAUUGGAUCAGAGAUGGUCUUGAUAAAGGUAGCCCACAGAGGAUAGAUGCCGUCAACCAGAUAGCAACCAUGUUGUAUUCAUGCCAUUUGAGAGUAUAAUGGCAAGGAUGAGCUUUCCUUUCAGCCAACCUAGUAAAUAAUGAUGAUCAUUGCAGCACAUUGAUGUCAUUGUGAGACCCGGGCAUGCCAAAUUCAAAGAUCAUGUGAUGCAACUGCUUCAAGAAUGAUAGUGGGCUUCUUUAUAACCAUGAUAUUGCCUUUGUAGAGCUUUUGUGCAGUUCUUUUAUCCAAUGCAUGCAAUCAAGAGAUCCAAACAAACCUGGCCACCCUCUUACUUCAGACAUUGCGUUCCUCUGGGUGUCUGCCACAAUUGGUUCUCUCGGGUACUGAGGUCCAAACACCAAGACCACAUCAGUAGCAAAUAUUACCAUGGCAUCUCCGCAUGUGCUCUCAGGCAUUCAUAGGUGUUCGUCCCAUGAAUCAGCGACUGUCCCAUAUGCACGAAGUUCGGGCAUCCACUUUUGGUAACUAGAGAACCCAAUCCUUCCCACUCCAUCCUUCUUCAAGAUGAAUUAGCCAUUAAUGGAGUGGACGCCAUCGUAGAGAGGAUCGAAGACAUUCUUUUGCAUCCGAAAGCGGUGGCGAAAAUUGUCAACGAAUAGGGCACCCGGGGCAAAGUAGUCGUCUAUCAGUGUCAAAUGGCCGCACGCCCUAUUGCGGUUGAGCACUUGAUGACCCUUGUUCGAUCUCUUGAAAUUGAGAACACGAUCUUCUGCACGCUCCACGUCUGUAAGGACCGCCUGCAUCAUUGUCGUCUCAUCCAUGUAGUCCUCCUCUUCUGUCGAGCUGUCGAACGACUCAACAAAGUGCUCGUAUAUGUACUCCAUAUCCGAAUCCAUUUCUUCAAAGAAGAAGGGACAAAAAAAUUAGCACGGCCAUGUCACCGACUAGUUGCCGGGCAUGGUGAGUAUCGUAGAGGUAGAUGGUACCUGUGUGGCGGACAGAGUAGAGGUAUGGAACAACAGCAGGGGAGAAGCGGCCUGAAGCCCGGGUGUAGUGCCGGAGGAGAUGGAGUCGUCAAGUUCCGGCAAGGGUGUGGCGAGGCAGCCGGGGUGGUGGAGCAGUGGUGGAGGCAAGAGAGAAGGAUGCAGAAAAAGAUGGGAGGAUGGAUACGCGGUGUCCGGGAGGGGUUUUGGGUGGGCCGGGGGUGUCGGAGUCUUACGCGGUUGUUGUCCAGACUCCCGCAAAGCCCCACCAAGUUUGUUUCGACUUUGCGGGAAAAGUGUGUCCAGACCCGUCGGCAGACCGAUACAAGCCCGUGUUGGACGGCUAAACACGUCUGGACCGUGCCGUCUAGACGGUUUGAGAGUCUGCUUUGGAGAUGCCCUAAUUGCAUAUUUCAUUUUCUCUCUAAAUUCAAUCACCCACGCAUAAUAUAUAGAUUACGAUGGGAAUAUAUACAUGAUGACAUUACAAAUAUAUUUAUUUAAACCACCAAUUAUUAAUCAAUUGUCACUACACUCAUUGCCUUCGAAGAGACUUCCUUGGACACAUCGGUGUGUGUGUGUGUGUUAAGGGAGACCAUCCAAGAAGGGGAGGGGUCCGGCGUGAAACCGGGCUGGCGAGGAAGGUGUCCGACGGGGAAAGGAAAACAAAGAAUGGGACCGGGCUGUCGGGCCGACGUGACAAACAGUUUGGACUCACCUACUCCUUGCCAUGAUUUGGUGUUGAACCGAGGGAUUUCUGACUGUCCUAAUUGAAAUCGGAGAGCGCGUUGGAAGGCAAGAACGGUCCAAACUGUCCUGUUUAGACAAAUAUAGGAGCAGAAUGGGGAAGUCGCUGUAGAUGCCCUUAGCUUGCAUAUUAUUCAUUCCAACUUCACCCUUCUAUAUUCAGCAGAACAAAAUUUAUGGCACAUGCAAACUUAGGAACAACACUAUGUAGUAAUUAACCAAGAUGAUGCAUGCACAUACAUAAAUUAAGUACAAACGAGGCCAUCCAGUACCAAGGUGGACCCUCUGGACGAUUCGCAACAAACUUGUGAUUCAACGCACUCCGCUUCGCCGGGCUACCGACGCUAUUUUCAAAUUGUCUGGUUACUUGCAGUUUUGGCGACCGCUUAGCCGCCCUCGAGACCGGGACGCUAUCUCCGCCUUCAUCGUCGACCUUCGAUCGAUGGCAGUCCGCCUAUCGCCGCCGCCCCCUCCGCCUCCUCCAGAGCCUGAUUAGAUGCUUGGUGUUCCUCCUCGGCUUUGGCUACGGCCUCGGCCGUGCCGUUUUCUUUGUUGUUUUUAGGGCUUGUUGAGCUGUGCCCUCAGCAGAAUCCUUUGGAUCUUUUGUUGUGUUUUGUGGGUGCGUUUGUCCUGGACUAAUUCUUAUAUGUGUGCUCUUGGUGGUUUGCUUUAUCUAUAAAGCAGGGCGAAAGUCUUUUUCGGUAAUGGAUGAUGCCUAUAAUCUUUGCUCCAACCUACUCUAAAAUAAUCCUCAUAGUGGUAUUAGUACUAUAUGUACACAUUGGUACCGAAUCAUGUCCACCAGCCAACAAUCUUGCAAGUUAGUGCAGGUGCCAAAUAAGGUGAGAUGAGGUGAGGUAGGUAGGUUGGCCUUCGAGAAGCCAACAAACCAACAGGACCAGAUUUGGACUUGGAAAAGUGCCAGAGAGAAAAACAAAGGCAUCGAAAGGCAUCUCAAGUUUAAUUUGGUAGACUGGAUAGUGUGCACCAUUGGGUGAGCCAUCGGUGCUAGAGCAACUUCAACGGGUCGACUCAAACGGACGACGAUUUUGUCUACUUUUUAUUUGUUUGGGUCGGCCAGACGGACAGGGAUGUCCGCUUUAGUAUUUGGGUCGGCGCGUGCGCCCAACGCUGGCCUGAACCCAUUUUGACGGCGCUAAAAAAAUUGAACGCAUGCAUAUUAAAAAAGAGAAACGACAUUAAUUAAACAUUAAAGCGACCACGAAAGCUGGUGAGAGUCCACGCGUCCACAUUUACAUUAAAAAAAA